AGUGAACGCUGGCGGUAGGCCUAACACAUGCAAGUCGAACGGCAGCACAGUAAGAGUUUGCUCUUACGGGUGGCGAGUGGUGGCUGGGUGAGGAAUACAUCGGUAUCUACUUUUUCGUGGGGGUUAACGUAGGGAAACAUACGCUAAUACCGCAUACGACCUACGGGUGACAGCCGGGGUCCUUCGGACCUUGCGCGAAUGAAUGAGCCGAUGUCGGAUUAGCUAGUUGGCGGGGUAAAGGCCCACCAAGGCGACGACCCGUAGCUGGUCUGAGAGGAUGAUCAGCCACACUGGAACUGAGACACGGUCCAGACUCCUACGGGAGGCAGCAGUGGGGAAUAUUGCGCAAUGGGCGAAAGCCUGAUCCAGCCAUACCGCGUGGGUGAAGAAGGCCUUCGGGUUGUAAAGCCCUUUUGUUGGGAAAGAAAAGCAGCAGGAUAAUACCCCGCUGUUCUGACGGUACCCAAAGAAUAAGCACCGGCUAACUUCGUG
rnacentral:rRNA from 1 species